CUCGAAGUCGAAGGUUGUCGUCUGCCGUCCGUCGUGUUAAAUCUGCCGAGUGCAUUUUUGUCCGCGUGUGUAAGUUGUGAGUGAUUUUAUCGAAAAUAUACCGAAAUACUGAUUAAAAUGUGUUCUUGGCUUUUCGACUGCCUGCGAAAAUGAUUACUGGAGCAACUCAUCAUAAAUGAUUUUCAGUUCCUCAUUUGAGAUUCAAAAUAUAAGGAAUUUUGGAGUUCCCUGAACCGAUGUCAAUUCUGCAGAAUAUG